GAUGAACGCUGGCGGCGGGCCUAAUACAUGCAAGUCGAGCGAACAGACGAGGAUCUUGCUCCUCUUACGUUAGCGGCGGACGGGUGAGUAACACGUGUAUAACCUACCUAUAAGACUGGGAUAAGUUCGGGAAACCUGAUCUAAUACCGGAUAAGAUAUUGAACCGCAUGGUUCAAUAGUGAAAGACCUUUUUGCUGUCACUUAUAGAUGUAUCCUCGCCGCAUUAGCUAGUUGGUAAGGUAACGGCUUACCAAGGCAACGAUGCGUAGCCGACCUGAGAGGGUGAUCAGCCACACUGGAACUGAGACACGGUCCAGACUCCUACGGGAGGCAGCAGUAGGGAAUCUUCCGCAAUGGGCGAAAGCCUGACGGAGCAACGCCGCGUGAGUGAUGAAGGUCUUCGGAUCGUAAAACUCUGUUAUUAGGGAAGAACAAAUGUGUAAGUAACUAUGCACGUCUUGACGGUACCUACACAGAAAGCCCCGGCUAACUACGUG
rnacentral:rRNA from 1 species